AUUGAACGCUGGCGGCAUGCCUUACACAUGCAAGUCGAACGGCAGCACGGGGGCAACCCUGGUGGCGAGUGGCGAACGGGUGAGUAAUACAUCGGAACGUGCCCAGUAGUGGGGGAUAGCCCGGCGAAAGCCGGAUUAAUACCGCAUGCGACCUACGGGUGAAAGCGGGGGAUCGCAAGACCUCGCGCUGUUGGAGCGGCCGAUGUCAGAUUAGGUUGUUGGUGGGGUAAAGGCCUACCAAGCCGACGAUCUGUAGCUGGUCUGAGAGGACGACCAGCCACACUGGGACUGAGACACGGCCCAGACUCCUACGGGAGGCAGCAGUGGGGAAUUUUGGACAAUGGGGGCAACCCUGAUCCAGCCAUGCCGCGUGCGGGAAGAAGGCCU
rnacentral:rRNA from 1 species